rnacentral:rRNA from 1 species
UACGGAGGGUGCAAACGUUGCUCGGAAUCAUUGGGCGUAAAGCGCACGUAGGCGGCCUAUCAAGUCAGGUGUGAAAGCCCUGGGCUCAACCCAGGAAGUGCACUUGAAACUGAUGGGCUUGAAUAUGGAAGAGGGUCGCGGAAUUCCCGGUGUAGAGGUGAAAUUCGUAGAUAUCGGGAGGAACACCAGUGGCGAAGGCGGCGACCUGGGCCAAUAUUGACGCUGAGGUGCGAAAGCGUGGGGAUCAAACAGG